UACAGAGACCUCAAGCAUUAUCCGGAUUUAUUGGGUGUAAAGGGUCCGUAGGCGGUUUGGUGCGUCCCGCGUUAAAUCCUAGGGCUCAACCCUGGUACCGCGCGGGAUACGACCUAACUUGAGUGUGGGAGAGGUAAGCGGAAUUGCCGGUGUAGUAGUAAAAUGCGUUUAUAUCGGCAAGAACACCAAAUGCGAAGGCAGCUUACUAGAACACUACUGACGCUCAGGGACGAAAGCGUGGGGAGCAAAA
rnacentral:rRNA from 1 species